CAGUAUUCAUCAUGUCACCCUCAUUCCUUCCCCGGCACGACUCUGCGCGGCACUUGGGAUAUGUGCAACCAAUCGCAGUGCAAUCUUUCACGAAACUGAUAUCUGUCUCAAGUCCUGUGCUGAUGCAAUGAUAUUUGGCUCAGAAUCACUUAACCUAGCUCAUAGUACCGAGAAGCCACCAGAUUGUCAACGCGAUUCUACUGCCACGGGAUAUCAGUACGACCACUCAUGCGAGCCGUAUAAGAGCUCCCCUACUUUGCUGGCGACCACUCUCAUCAGCCGCGAUGCGUCUUCCAACGAGGCUAUGCCUAAGGCAGAGAGUGAACUAGUUUUCUCGUCCAAGGUCUUGAUGAAUCUUUCAAACAAGAAUGUUUCGAGGAUUCUGAGGAACCUCUUACGACGUUUACUGCUGUAUCCGAAUUCAAAAGAUUCGCCACCUUUUCGCAAGAACGUCCUUGAAUUCUGGCGAAAAGAUUUUGGAAAAUGGUGAGAUGAACAUUAUUAAUAAUACAAUAGACCAUUAUUGUGAGAACGCGCGGGUCAGGCGCCGGGCCCGCACGUGAUAGGAUUGUACCAAAAUGAUGUGCGCGUUUUGAGUGCGUGUCUGGACGGCAUUUGGAGACAAAAACAGUGAACCCCUGAUGAGGGCCUCAACACAUGCGUGUCGGAUAAUAAGUCACCCCCGUCCAGGUGACAAUCAAUAAGAAUAUAUUCUGGAUUUCAGGCAGCUGUGGACACCCCUGAGGGGAAAAUUUUCAGAUUUGUCCGCCCGGUUGAAAAUUUUCAGAUAAACUCGUCAUUCUUGAGUUAAUCCUCCCAUACGGUAGUAGUAGUAGUAGUAGUAGUAGUAGUAGUAUCUCCGGGGUGUCCACAGCUGCCUGAAAUCCAGAAUACCAGGUAAGGUAUAAAUAUAUAUUAAAACUAAUAAAAUAAUAUCAUAAAAUAAUAAUAAAAUACGAAACCCACUUUAUAUUAUUCGGCAUAGCCGAUAUUACACGACCUGAACUUCCAAAAU
rnacentral:lncRNA from 1 species